rnacentral:rRNA from 1 species
UACGGAGGGUGCAAGCGUUAUCCGGAUUUACUGGGUUUAAAGGGUGCGUAGGUGGGUCUGUAAGUCAGUGGUGAAAUCUCCGAGCUUAACUCGGAAACUGCCAUUGAUACUAUAGGUCUUGAAUUAUCUGGAGGUAAGCGGAAUAUGUCAUGUAGCGGUGAAAUGCUUAGAUAUGACAUAGAACACCAAUUGCGAAGGCAGCUUACUACGGAUAUAUUGACACUGAGGCACGAAAGCGUGGGGAUCAAGCAGG